rnacentral:lncRNA from 1 species
CAGAGAUUUUUGUCUUCUUCUCAGCUAGCAGAUGGUUUAACAGCAUUUGGUACUCUAGCAUCCUUCCAGCAUACCUUGAAUCCCAUCUGAGAUUUUAGAUUGACUAUGUCUGGAUUUGAUCAGUUUUAUCAGUUUAUUUUCCUCUGAUGUUUUUCUCCUCUGCCAGCUGCAUCAACUCUUCCUCCACCCAAGACUCACUCUAUGUGCAUUCCUGGUUUUCAGCCUGAAUAAGGAUGAAGAAUCAGGUUCACAUGAAAUCACCAUUAAAAUACCAUGGCUGAGAUCUUCUUGGUGGUAAGUCCUGAAAACCCUGCCUAAGUCAGAUAUCCAGUGGAGUUAUGCCAAUUUGCCA